GGUCAUAAGUUAGUAGGAGGGGUGUUUCCCUAAAGGGAUUGUGGGACAUUGUCUGUUCUGGUUUCUUCUGAUUCUCUGCCGUGAGGUGAACAGUUUUACCCUCUGCUCUCUGCUCUAGUAGUAUUUAUACCUUGGUCAGCUCCUUGAGGACCUGGAGCAGGAGGUCCUUUAGGAAGAGAACAAGGAGGUAGUGAGUGCAGAAGAUGGGAGAGCUGCGCCGUGUGUCCCCUCCCCCACUGCCACCCUUCAUGGUUUGAGCUCUGCAUUUUCUCAUCAAAAGGAGAAGAUCUGUGGAAGACUUCUGUUCGAAGGAUUUAAAGGCUCACAGUCUCAACUCAUGGCUAUCUUCUCAAACAGAGAAGGAUUUAAAGGCUCACAGUCUCAACUCAUGGCUAUCUUCUCAAACAGAGAAGGCAAUGACCAACAAACCGGAUAUGGCCCCGGGGCUGCAGGAGGGAAGCAGCUAUUCUCCUGUCUACAGUACAGAGAGUGGGGAACUGGCAGAAACCAACACAUCUUCAUGUGCCGACGCAGCAACGUUGCCAGCUGCUCAGCUCUGCCCCUGUGAGUGGAAGCAACCAUGAAGGACACUGGAGGACAGCUGUGUUCCAAUAAAACUUUAUACAA